rnacentral:rRNA from 1 species
GAUGAACGCUGGCGGCGUGCCUAACACAUGCAAGUCGAACGGGGAUAGGAUGAAACCUAGUGAUUCCUAUUCUAGUGGCGGACGGGUGAGUAACGCGUGGAUAACCUGCCUUGUACAGGGGGAUAACACCUGGAAACAGGUGCUAAGACCGCAUAAGCGCACAGUCUCGCAUGGGACAGUGUGAAAAACUCCGGUGGUACAAGAUGGAUCCGCGUCUGAUUAGCCAGUUGGCGGGGUAACGGCCCACCAAAGCGACGAUCAGUAGCCGGCCUGAGAGGGUGAACGGCCACAUUGGGACUGAGACACGGUCCAG